CUUUAACUCCGGUUGAUCCUGCCGGACCCCACUGCUAUCGGGAUGGGACUAAGACAUGCUAGUCGUGUGUUUCCAAGCUAUGGUGGAGACACGGCGCACAGCUCAGUAACACGUGGCUAACCUACCCUUGGGACAGGGACAACCCCGGGAAACUGGGGCUAAUCCCUGAUAGGUGAAGACUCCUGGAAUGGGUCUUCACCCAAAGGACGUUUAGACCAUGCUUCUAGACGUCGCCCAAGGAUGGGGCCGCGGCCGAUCAGGUUGUUGGUGAGGUAACGGCUCACCAAGCCUAUAACCGGUACGGGCCGUGGGAGCGGGAGCCCGGAGAUGGGCACUGAGACAAGGGCCCAGGCCCUACGGGGCGCAGCAGUCGCGAAAACUCCGCAAUACGCGAAAGCGUGACGGGGCCAUCCCGAGUGCCAUCCGCUGAGGAUGGCUUUUCCCCAGUGUACACAACUGGGGGAAUAAGGAGAGGGCAAGCCUGGUGUCAGCCGCCGCGGUAAUACCAGCUCUCCGAGUGGUGGGGACGCUUAUUGGGCCUAAAGCAUCCGUAGCUGGCUGGGCAAGUCCCCCGUUAAAUCCAACGAUUCAAUCGUUGGACUGCGGGGGAUACUGUCCGGCUAGGGGGCGGGAGAGGCCGACGGUAUUCCCGGGGUAGGGGUGAAAUCCUAUAAUCCCGGGAAGACCACCAGUGGCGAAGGCUGUCGGCUAGAACGCGCCCGACGGUGAGGGAUGAAAGCUGGGGGAGCGAACCGGAUUAGAUACCCGGGUAGUCCCAGCUGUAA
rnacentral:rRNA from 1 species